AACGAACGCUGGCGGCAUGCCUAACACAUGCAAGUCGAACGAUUGCCUUCGGGUGAUAGUGGCGCACGGGUGCGUAACGCGUGGGAAUCUGCCCUUAGGUUCGGAAUAACAGCUGGAAACGGCUGCUAAUACCGGAUGAUAUCGCGAGAUCAAAGAUUUAUCGCCUGAGGAUGAGCCCGCGUUGGAUUAGGGAGUUGGUGGGGUAAAGGCCUACCAAGCCGACGAUCCAUAGCUGGUCUGAGAGGAUGAUCAGCCACACUGGGACUGAGACACGGCCCAGACUCCUACGGGAGGCAGCAGUGGGGAAUAUUGGGGAAUGGGCGCAAGCCUGAUCCAGCAAUGCCGCGUGAGUGAUGAAGGCCCUAGGGUUGUAAAGCUCUUUUACCCGGGAAGAUAAUGACUGUACCGGGAGAAUAAGCCCCGGCUAACUACGUG
rnacentral:rRNA from 1 species